rnacentral:rRNA from 1 species
GAUGAACGCUGGCGGCGUGCCUAAUACAUGCAAGUCGAGCGAACAGACGAGGAGCUUGCUCCUCUGACGUUAGAGGCGGACGGGUGCGUAACACGUGGAUAACCUAACUAUAAGACUGGGAUAACUUCGGGAAACCGUGGCUAAUACCGGAUAAUAUAUUGAACCGCAUGGUUCAAUAGUUAAAGAAGGUUUUUCUUUCACUAAUAGAUGACUACGCGCCGCAUUCGCUAGUUGGGAAGGUGAAUGCUUACCAAGGCAACGAUGCAUACACGACCUGAAAGGGUGGUCGGCCACACUGGAACUGAGAAACGGCCGAGACUCUGACGGUAGGCAGCAGUAGGGAAUCUUCCGCGAUGGGCGAAAGGCGGACGGUGCAACGCCGGGGGAGUGAUGAAGGUCUUAGGACGGUAAAGCGCUGUUAGUAGGGAAGAACAAAUGUGUAAGUAACUAUGCACGUCUUGACGGUACCGAAUCAGAAAGCCCCGGCUAACUACGUG